CUCUGCAGCUCUCACAUGGUGGCCCACCGAAGCUAAGCAGGGCAGAGCCCGGUCAGUACCUGAAAGGGAGACCACAUGGGAAAGCUAGGUUGCUGCUGAAA
rfam:Danio rerio chromosome 14 genomic contig CTG1748, GRCz11 reference primary assembly.